GCUAGGUCCAAAGAAAGUCGGGCAGCCAGUCGAGAAGCUACCGACAAAGGUGCCGAUAGGGGUAAGGCACUGAUGCUCCCUAGCUUCACCGUGGACUAUGGUCUGGGCAUGCCUUUCGAGGAGCUGACGGUCGCAAUCGAGAUGCACUUUAAAGCCAUCGAUCAAACGAUCCAGAACCACCAACUCACUGGGGAGUUGGCGAAGAUAGUGAUGCUUCCCGCAGACUGGGAAGCCAAGAAAAUGUGCCCAAUCUCAGAGAUUCAGUCGGACGCCAACAUAUCAUUGAUCGCACUAC
rnacentral:lncRNA from 1 species